rnacentral:rRNA from 1 species
GACGAACGCUGGCGGCGUGCCUAAUACAUGCAAGUAGAACGCUGACUACUUUAGCUUGCCAGAGUAGAAGGAGUUGCGAACGGGUGAGUAACGCGUAGGUAACCUGCCUACUAGCGGGGGAUAACUAUUGGAAACGAUAGCUAAUACCGCAUAACAGUGUUUAACACAUGUUAGAUGCUUGAAAGAUGCAAUUCCAUCACUAGUAGAUGGACCUGCGUUGUAUUAGCUAGUAGGUGGGGUAAUGGCUCACCUAGGCGACGAUCCCUAGCUGGUCUGAGAGGAUGACCAGCCACACUGGAACUGAGACACGGUCCAGACUCCUACGGGAGGCAGCAGUGGGGAAUAUUGCACAAUGGGCGCAAGCCUGAUGCAGCCAUGCCGCGUGUAUGAAGAAGGCCUUCGGGUUGUAAAGUACUUUCAGCGGGGAGGAAGGCGGUGGAGUUAAUAGCUUCAUCGAUUGACGUUACCCGCAGAAGAAGCACCGGCUAACUCCGUGCCAGCAGCCGCAGUAA